AAAUCAAUAGUUUUUUAAUUGAAAGCUUGUAUGAAGGGUUGGACGAGAUAAUAUCUGUCUUUAUUAUAAUUAUGUUAGAAUUUAAUUUUUAAGUUAAAAAGCUUAAAUUUUUUUAAAAGACGAGAAGACCCUAUAGAGUUUUAUAAAUUUUAGUUUAUAAUUAUUUUAGAUUAAUUAAUUUUAUAAAUUUAGAUUUAUUUUAUUGGGGUAAUGGAAAGACUUAUUUAAUUCUUUUUUAUUUAUUUAUUUAUUUAUAUAUUAAGGAUCCUUUAUUAAGGAGUAUAAGAUUAAAUUACCUUAGGGAUAACAGCGUAAUUUUUUUUGAAAGUUCAUAUUGAUAAAAAAGAUUGCGACCUCGAUGUUGGAUUAAAGAUUAAUUUAGGUGCAAAAGUUUAAAUUUUUGGUCUGUUCGACCAUUAAAUCUUUACAUGAUCUGAGUUCAGACCGGUGUGAGCCAGGUCGGUUUCUAUCUUUAUUUAUUUUUUAUAUUUUAGUACGAAAGGACCAAAUAUUUAUUAUAGUAAUUUUUAUUUUGAAUAUUAUU
rnacentral:rRNA from 1 species